rnacentral:other from 1 species
AUAUCCCUGCGGUGCGCGUUGGAAAUUUGAUAAUUGUUGAACCAACACUAUUUUCAUGGGAGCCCCAUUAUUCUUUAGGCACGUGUGCCCAAAGAUAGGGCACCCACCUGAAGCCAAACCGGUUCAGAAUGUCAUUCCAACGGCACUCCUGCGGGGAUUUU